rnacentral:lncRNA from 1 species
AGAGCCAGCCCAACCUCGACGGAGGGUGGGAGGACUAGAGAUUGCGUUCAAUUCGGUGGCAAAUGAGUCAACCAAUUGUGCCUAUGUAAUGAAAACUCUGGACGCCAAAAUUUGGUGGAGCUUCCUGGUUGGUGAACACAUCCAUGUGCCAGGAGGGUGACACAACCUGAUUCACAGAGAGAAGACACAGAAGCUCUGCAUGGAAGACCCGCCCAGACCCCGCCCUACGUGUGUCUUCAUUAGUCUGGUCCUCCUGAUUUGUAUCCUUUGUAACAAGCCUGUAAUCGUAAGUAUAACAUUCUCCUGAGUUUGGUGAGUUGUUCUAGCAAAUUAUCAAACCCGAGGGGGUUGUGGGUACCCCCCAGAUUAGUAGCCAGUUGGUCAGAGGAGCGAGUAGCCUGGGGACCUCCACACUUGUGGCUGGCGGCGGAAGUGAGGGCAAUCUCAUUGGGGCUGAAACCUGUAGUUAGUGUUGUGCUGCACUAUUCCAGUCCCUUAUCCACCUACAUUCCUCAUUUCCUUGUCGGGGCCUUGCUGUGAUGUCUCCAUUUGGGUGAUUUCAUAAAGGUUAGAGAUGAGGGAGGGCAGAUUUACCUGGAGAACAAAUUCCUAGGCCUUUUGAUACUUUUUUUUUUUUUGAGACAAGGUCUCGCUCUGUUACCCAGGCUGAAGUGCAGUGGUGCAAUCCAGGCUCACUGCAACCUUGCCUCCCAACCCCCACCCCCACACUCUGGGCUCAAGCGAUCCUUCCACAUUAGCCUCCAGGGUAAUUGGGACCACACGUGCGCACCAGCACGCCCAGUUUUGUUUUUGGUUUUUUUUUUUUUUUUUUUUGUAUUUUCAGUAGUGAAAGGGUUGCCCAGGCUGGUCUCAAACUCCUGAGCUCAAGCAAUCUGCCCCCCUCAGCCUCCCCAAAGUGCUAGUAUUACAGGCAUGAGCCAUCGCGCCCAGCCAAUAUACAUUCUUAACAAUUUUUUACUUACCAAUUCUCUGUUCUGGCUUUGUAUCUCUGAUUUUACUAGAUUAUCCCUGUUUUGGCAAACACUAACAAUAUUUAUAUAAGUUUAGCCUAUAUGCCUUAAAGACGUUUUCUCCUACUUCCAGAACUUUCUCAGUUGUGUGUGUGAGUACGCCUGGCUUUUCAUCAAAGAGCUUUGCCGUCUUGAUGCUUCCUUUUCUGUGAACACAGCAAUAAAUAGAUUCUGCAGAACAAAUGAAGAUGGAGCCCAUCCAGAACCCAGCUGUGCUGCUGCAAGCCAGGAGAAAGGACUUUGUGCUCCUUCACCUCAGAAACCUGAACUCAGAAUUUCCUUGUAGACACUUUUCAGGCCUUUGUUUGCUGGAGACUGGAGUUCCCUGAGAGGAUUAAGGGUGUGGUGGGGAGUGUCUAAAGGAGCCCAGUGCCUUGAGGGCAGCCAAGAAGACAGAGGCCCUGGACUGGAUACCGGCUGAGGUAGGUGGAUCCCUGUGGGGUGGAGACCAUCCCCAGCUCCACAGCCCCAGGCAUGUCAAGGGCUAUCAUCAAGGCCUCAGAGGAGACCAGCUGCCUGGGGCACCUCAGGAAGCUAUACCCUGACACCUGGACUCCAGAGUCCACAAAUAUAUCUGUACCCAAACCAGUGGGCAAGCAAAGAAGCCCUUGCCUUUGGGAGACCUCAGGAUGUUGGCCAUGAGAACAUCAUGGAUGGGCGCGGUGGCUCGCUCCUGUAAUCCCAGCACUUUGGGAGGCCAAGGCGGGUGGAUCACCUGAGGUUAGGAGUUCGAGACCAGCCUGGCCAACAUGGUAAAACCCUGUCUCUACUAAAAAUACAGAAAUUAGCCAGGCACAGUGGCAGGUGCCUGUAAUCCCAGCUACUCGGGCGGCUGAGGCAGGAGAAUCGCUUGAACCUGGGAGGCAGAGGUUGCAGUGAGCCAAGAUCAUAUCACUGUGCUCCAGCUUGGGCAACAAGACAGAAACUCCAUCUCAAAAAAAAAAAAAAGAAAAGAAAUCAUGGACUCCAAAAGGCCUGAAGUGGAGAGUCCUGAAGCCAUCUCAGACCAUGAGGCCACCCUAAGGGUAGAAGGAAGCACACUAAGAUGACAGGAACAGAAGACAGGAGCCUGGGUCCAUCAUGCCAGGGAGCCUCCACACCUGCCCUGGACGUUUCAUCUCAGACCUCGUGGAUAAAGCAGAGAAAUAAAUAUCUACCUUGUUUAAGCCACUUAUUUUCAAUUUUUUGUUUCAAGCAGGCUUUUCAUGAAGUUCCCAGUCUGACAGCAUUAAUUGGUGGGCUAGAAUUUGUGGACGGUUUCCAUGUAUGUAUUCUGCAAAACCAUCCAUAAGAAAGAGUUGAACAAGUCUUGGGACUAGCUAGAGAAGUGGGCAAAAAAAGAGAGGAAGUGGCCGAGUGCGGUGGCUCACGCCUGUAAUCCCAGCACUUUGGGAUGCUCAGGCAGGCAGAUCACGAGAUCAAGAGAUUGAGACCAUCCUGGCCAACAUGGUGAAACCCCGUCUCUACUGAAAAUACAAAAAUUAGCUGGGCGUGAUGCCAUGCGCCUGUAGUCCGAGCUACUCGGGAGGCGGAGGCAGGAGAAUCACUUGAACCCUGGAGGCAGAGGUUGCAGUGUGUCAAGAUCAUGCCACCGCUCUCCAGCCUAGUAACAGAGUGAGAAUUCCGUCUCAAAAAAAAAAAAAAAAAAAAAGAGAGAGAGGAAGUAGCCUCUCCACUGCCCCUGCCAUGCCUAGAAGGUUCCCCAGCAUAAGAAGAGAUCAUUUGCAUCUCAAACAGCACAAUAGGCAGCCUGCUGGGUGGCCGGGGAAACUGUCCAAGACAGGACCGUACCAGAGGCCUUUUCUUGUCCUUUGAAUAUUUCAACUUCUGUGCAGGAAGGCUUGGGCUUUCCCAGGACAAAAUAAUUUUUAACAUUUUAUUUGUCUUAUUAAAUAUUAAAUAAAUAUAUUUGUAAAAGAUACAGACAUGAAUAACAAUGAUACAAAGAAUGACAAAGUGACCUUUUAAAUUUGAGACCAAUUCCAUCUAAAACAAUCCAAGCCACCUGUAGCUGUUGGUUUGAUUGCAAUAACCAAUACUGGACCAUGGUUACUUAACCUAUCAACCCAAGAAGAAAUCUUUCAUAACUGUGAUGAUCACGAAGGAAAUAUAAACAUGGCUAACCUGUGUCAUGAAAAAUGGAAGCUAAUUAAGGUAUCUGAAAUGAGUGAGGAGACUGAGGAUGUUCUGAAGGAAAUGCAGGAAGGAGAAUUAGCCUAAGUGCAUCCAUGUUGAACUUAUACAUAAAUCUUUCCUUGGUUGGCAAGAGUCCAGAAUAUGAUAUCACAGUGUGUGAAGGAGGCUGAGAGGAAACAGACUGUCCCAUGCAUUGCUGGCAGCAGUGCAGAUGGCACAGUUCUGUGGAGCAGACCUGCAAUAUCUACCAGAACUAUACAUGCACAAACCCUUUGACCCAGAGAUCCCCCUUCUGGGAAUCUAUCUUAUAGAUUCACCUACACAAAGGUAAACUUGCUUAGGUAUAAGGUUAUUCAUUGUGGCAUUAUUUAUAAUAACAACGGAUCAGAAACAGCCCAACAACCCAGCAAUAGGAGACUGGCGAACACACAGCUCUGGUCGAUCCACCAAUGGAAUACUAUAGAGCUGUCAAAAUGAAAAAGGCAGGAGGAACAGCUUUACGUGGUGAUAGGGAAGGAUACCCAGUAUAUUUAGUUACGAUUUUAAAAGGAAGGAGCAAGAUGUAUAUAACAUGCUUUUUUUGUGUAAUAAAAGAGGAAAUAAAAGUAUGUUAUUUAUGUUUGCAUAAAGAAACGUUGGGAGAAUAAAUAAGGCACUAUUCUGGUAAAAAUGGUUACUGACGAGCAAUGUGAGGGGAAAA